CUGAGUGAGAGCAAAGUGAGGUAUUCCAUAGACUGUAAGAAAAUAGUCUGUGAAGAAAAAUAGAGUGUGAGUGAUAUUGUAGUGAGGUGGGAAAAAUCAAAGGAGUGUUUUUCUUUUUUGAGUGUGUAGUGGUCUUUGGAGUAUUUAUACUUGUGACUACACAGUGUAAAAUUCCUUACUAUAGUGAUAUCAGUUGCUCCUCUUGGCCGUGGUUUUUCCCUUAUUCAGAAGGGUUUCCACGUAAAAUCUUGGUGUCAUUAUUGCUGCAUUUUAUUCUUGCUGAUUUAACCAUAACUUAGUGUUCCGCGUUUAUCACUAAUACCGUGAAUAUUAUUUUUGCGGGUCUAUUUUAUUCCCAUCAUAAUUUUCCACUUUAAUUGAGAAAAUCAAAUAUCAUUAAGAAAGAAAGGUAACUAGGAUGUGUCUUUAGGAUUAAUGUAUGUCCUUUAUGUGUUUUCUUAAUUAUUCUUACGGUAUGUAUAUAACACCUAGUAAUCCUAUAUCAUGAUUAUAGUUUUCUGUUCUUGUGUAUCCUGUUUGUUUGAUUUUGAUUUCAAUUUAUCAGUUUUAUGUUUUAUUGCUUUUGAGAAUAUGAAUUAGUGUCAAUGGAAUCGCUUCUAAUAUUAUAUCAAAAAAAUCGAAUUGAAAAAAUCGAAACCGAAACCGAAAGAACCGAACCGAACUAGUUGGGUUCGGUGUUCGGUGUCCACCUUCAAAAAACCGAACCCAAAAUAACCAAACAGAAGUUUGAUAAACCGAACCGAAAAAUCGAACGCCCACCCUAGUUACAGUUCGAUAAUAAAGAGCAAUAAUAGGGAACAGAACAAAAACGAUUCAUACGUGCUACGAUUAUGAAUGGACCGAUUUACGAGGAUAACAUAUUACUCAUACGAUCAUGACAUGUGACGGUCAUCCCAUCUUUCCCUUUACCUUCGUUGCGGCUAUAAAUAGACACUCAUGGUUCCUCCAUAAUACUAGUACAACAUCAUCAAAGUUUUCUUGAAUUUCAAUACUUUUCUUUCAUCAAUCUUAUCAAAAAAACAUGUCUUGCUGUGGUGGAUCUUGCGGGGGACCGGUGGUACCUACGACUCCGAAGCUGAGGGAAAUGGGAGAAUUCUCUGCUGAGAAUGGCUGCAAAUGUGGAUCUGACUGCAAGUGUGACCCUUGCACUUGUUCUAAAUGAACAAACUAAAGUUUAACAGAGCAGAGAUCAUGGUUAAAUAACUAGUCUUAAAUUGUCGAGUUUAUAGUUUUGUGUCUGUUGAAACAGGGAAAGGCUAUGUGUUUUUUCCCUGUAAUAAGAAAUGGUAAUGUUUAUAAGUAGUGGUAAUGUGGUUUGUGUAAGCGAGCAUCUCUGCAUCUGGUAAUGUUAACAUACUAGUGUUUGGAA